rnacentral:rRNA from 1 species
AGUGAACGCUGGCGGUAGGCCUAACACAUGCAAGUCGAACGGCAGCACAGUAAGAGCUUGCUCUUACGGGUGGCGAGUGGCGGACGGGUGAGGAAUACAUCGGAAUCUACUUUUUCGUGGGGGAUAACGUAGGGAAACUUACGCUAAUACCGCAUACGACCUACGGGUGAAAGCAGGGGAUCUUCGGACCUUGCGCGAUUGAAUGAGCCGAUGUCGGAUUAGCUAGUUGGCGGGGUAAAGGCCCACCAAGGCGACGAUCCGUAGCUGGUCUGAGAGGAUGAUCAGCCACACUGGAGCUGGGACACGGUCCAGACUCCUACGGGAGGCAGCAGUGGGGAAUAUUGGACAAUGGGCGCAAGCCUGAUCCAGCCAUACCGCGUGGGUGAAGAAGGCCUUCGGGUUGUAAAGCCCCUUUGUUGGGAAAGAAAAGCAGCAGGUUAAUACCCCGCUGUUCUGACGGUACCCAAAGAAUAAGCACCGGCUAACUUCGUG